rnacentral:lncRNA from 1 species
GGGGAGGCCUCCUGGUCUGUCAGUGGGUCUGCAGGACGUGAGCGGCUCGUCCCAGCCCCCAGCCCACACCGGAGGCUUCCUGCUCUCUCUGAGGGUAGGCAGGGCCCACGUAAAUAGAAUCCGUCCCAGGUGCCUGUGAUGCUGUGAUGCCCCCCAGGGGGCCACCCGAGGGCCACCUUCCAGACGCCGUGGGGCCGCCUGCACAGGGCAGAGGGCAGGGGAGGGGCUGGAGAGGGAGAGGGGUCCAGAUUCGGGCUGAGCUCUUGGGGCCGGGUGAAGGCCGGUGUCCUCCAUAGAGGGAGGGCCGGCAGGGGGCCCCCAGGGGGUGGAGAGCAGGGCCCAGGCAGACACCCGAGGACAGUGGCUCUCCCCGAAGUUCGGGCUGUGCCCGGGGCCAGGGGGUCAGGGCGGCCGGACAAACGGGGUGCCGAGCACAGGUGUGGCCUGGGCCGGGGCUGACGGGCGUGUGGGGCACUCAGGCGGCAUCUCCGGGUCCCUCAGAGGCCGUCUGUCUGCGCCCCAUCCCUGGAGGGCUCCAUGCUGAUGCAGAUGCCCAGCUGGGCACUGACUUUCUCCCCGCAGCACCGGUCGUGGGUUCGAGGACAUGAUGUGCCUAGGAGAGUUUUCAAGACGGAACCGGUGCAGGAGGCAUUUUAUCAUGAGGGGAACUUACCUGGGAGCAUGUGCUCACCUUCCGGCCAAGCCCCUGCUGAUUCCUGCUGGGAAUGCUGGGCCCUCCCGCCUUCUCCUCCGGACCCCACGCAUGGUGCCUAGACCCCACCACCACCCUGCCCACCGCUCUGCCGGCUGUCUGUGCACCAGGACAGCGUGCGAGCCGUGCAUUCUGGCGUGUCCCUCCUCCUUCUCCGACUCCAACCACUGGGCCAGCACUUUCGCUGGGGGUGGCUUCUGAUGACUCACCGUGCAACUCUCUUCCUGUCUCUUCCGUCACCUGUGACACCCCCCCCCCCCCCACCAACCCCAGUGGAUCCUGGCGUCUGGGUCCUACUUGACUGCUGCCUGUACUUUUCACUGCCGCUGAGUUUCCUUUCUUCUCAUUCGGGACGAGCCCUGGGUGAGGGGUGGGCUCCCCUCGCUCCUUUGCUGAGGGUGACGGCUGGCGGUUCCCCUUCCUGCGGCCUCCGGGAUCGCAGCCGGGCGGGCGGACCGUGUAUGGAGACGGGCACCACGUGGCCUGCCCUGAGUGUCGGGGUUUUGUUGACUCAGGGCGGAACGCAGCGCAGAUCCACAGACGUGCCUCCUUUGGCCGGACCACCGACGUCCGUCCCCUGAAAGGGCUGUGAUCCAGGGAAGGAGACCGACCAACGGGAGCCGGUGCAUCAGAUCGCUGAGAGCUUCUGUUAAGAUGUUGAGAAAGCACUGACAACAUCAAAACAAAUCUUCUGGGUGUCUAAGAGUCAGGCCGUGAUUUUAUUAUUUAUUACUUUAAGCAAAUGCAACACAGCUGAUAGUUUCAAGGGCCCAUUAAUUAGCGGGUGGGGGAU